ensembl:lncRNA
GGACAGAGCACAGGGAGACAGAGAGAUACAGAGAGGCAGAAAGAGGGAGAAAGGGAGGAGAACAUUAAAUACAGUCAUCAGUGUCCAGCAGCGGAAUAUUGAAACAGACAGACUCCAGAUUGUUAAGGGUUUGAGAAUGGAUCCAAACACCACUGAGGCCUUGACCAGUCCACUGCUGCUACUUCAUUUAUCCUUGUCAUGUGAUGAAACUGUCAAGGAGUUUCAUGGAUUCUGAGUGAGAAACAGACAGAAAGUGACAGAUCAAGGGAGGAAGGGGAGGGACAAAGGGUCUGAGAGAAAAAGAGAAUGAAAAAGAAAGCAGUUUUAUGUUAAAACUGAAGCGAGA